rnacentral:rRNA from 1 species
UGGGGAAUCUUGCGCAAUGGGCGAAAGCCUGACGCAGCAACGCCGCGUGGAGGAAGAAGGCCUUCGGGUUGUAAACUCCUGUCAGGGGGAACGAAGGCACCUGGGUUAAUAGCCCAAGGGUUGACGGUACCCCCAGAGGAAGCCACGGCUAACUACGUGCCAGCAGCCGCGGUAAUACGUAGGUGGCGAGCGUUGUCCGGAAUCAUUGGGCGUAAAGAGCGCGUAGGCGGCUUGUCAGGUCUGACGUGAAAUGCCGGGGCUUAACCCCGGACGUGCAUCAGAAACCGGCUUGCUAGAGUCUGGGAGAGGGAAGUGGAAUUCCUGGUGUAGCGGUGAAAUGCGCAGAUAUCAGGAGGAACACCGGUAGCGAAGGCUGCUUCCUGGAACAGUACUGACGCUGAGGCGCGAAAGCUAGGGUAGCAAACAG